UACGGAGGGUGCGAGCGUUGUCCGGAAUCACUGGGCGUAAAGGGCGCGUAGGCGGCCUGAUAAGUAGGGGGUGAAAUCCUGCGGCUUAACCGCAGGGCUGCCUUCUAAACUGUCAGGCUAGAGCACGGUAGAGGCAGAUGGAAUUCCCGGUGUAGCGGUGGAAUGCGUAGAGAUGUGGAGGAACACCGAUGGCGAAGGCAGCCCCCUGGGUCAACACUGACGCUCAUGCACGAAAGCGUGGGGAGCAAACAGG
rnacentral:rRNA from 1 species